rnacentral:rRNA from 1 species
GACGAACGCUGGCGGCGUGCUUAACACAUGCAAGUCGAACGGAAAGGCCCCUUUGGGGGUACUCGAGUGGCGAACGGGUGAGUAACACGUGAGUAACCUGCCCUUGACUUCGGGAUAACUUCAGGAAACUGGGGCUAAUACCGGAUAGGAAUCCUUGCUGCAUGGUGGGGGUUGGAAAGCUUCGGCGGUUUUGGAUGGACUCGCGGCUUAUCAGCUUGUUGGUGGGGUAGUGGCUUACCAAGGCUUUGCCGGGUAGCCGGCCUGAGAGGGCGACCGGCCACAUUGGGACUGAGGUACGGCCCAGACUCCUACGGGAGGCAGCAGUGGGGAAUAUUGCACAAUGGGCGGAAGCCUGAUGCAGCAACGCCGCGUGCGGGAUGACGGCCUUCGGGUUGUAAACCGCUUUCAGCAGGGGCGAAGCUUGUGGUGACGGUACCUGCAGAAGAAGCACCGGCUAACUACGUG